GGUGAAAUGACUGAUAAAAGGUGAUAAAUUGUAAAUUUAUUUAUGGAAUAUUUUAUUCCUUUCACUA
rnacentral:tRNA from 1 species